UACAGAGGGUGCAAGCGUUGUUCGGAAUUAUUGGGCGUAAAGCGCGUGUAGGCGGCUUUGCAAGUCAGAUGUGAAAGCCCUCGGCUCAACCGAGGAAGUUGCAUCUGAAACUGGCGAGCUUAGAGUACUAAAGAGGGUCGCGGAAUUCCCGGUGUAGAGGUAGAAAUUCGUAGAUAUCGGGUAGGAACACCGGUGGCGAAGGCGGCGACCUGGGUAGAUACUGACGCUGAUGAGCGAAAGCUGAGGGAGCAAACGGGG
rnacentral:rRNA from 1 species